rnacentral:lncRNA from 1 species
CUGAAGAGGAAGUGCCGGAGUGGAGAGUUAUGUAAGGAGAAUAGAAUGAAUUCAGAGUGAGGAGAAACCUGGUUUUGAAAUUUGCCUCUGACAUUCAUUAGCUAUAUGACCCUGGAUGGGCAGCUAGUUAGCACUGAGGAUUUUGAAUUUUAGAUUUACUCCGCCCUGCUUAGUCUUUAGAAUUUUAGCAACCAGGAAUGUAUACACCUCCACUUAAGGAUUAACUGUGGGGGAGGAAGUCUAUGACCCGAGUGUGCUAGCAAAUGACAAAUCAGAAACAAAUGACUGACCCCCUUGGCUGUUCAAAGCCAAGUUUAAGACACCAUUGGUACAUGUGAGACACAGGAAGUGAUGUAAAGAACUGCCUUUAUAUUUCAUGUCACUUCCUGUGAGGGGGGCUGUUGUGACUUUUGAGGCUUUGACAGUAGAAUUUGACUUGGAGGAGCUCUGAAGAAUGGUCUAGGUGAGAUGGCUUCCCUGAAAGGCCAUGUGUCUCUCGGUAACCGAGGAUGACGAUUGUUUUUGAGCGUUUUUGUGCACAAAGACACUUGUGCAUGAAGAUUUAAGUGGAAAAGUCGAUGCACAGAAACAGUCCCACUCUCUCGGCGUUGGAAGCCUGAGUCCAGUGGCAUGAAAAGUCGUUCCACCUGGAGACUUCCUCAGCUGCAUUGGAUGGCCGUGUUGUCCUUUGUGCUCCAGCACGCCCUAAGCACUCCACAGUGCUUUGCUGCAUCGCCAUCUCAGCCGUUGAACCUUCUUGUUGGUUUCUUCCGCCUGUUCCACCGAAACAGUCUUCACAUGCUGGGUGAGCAAAGCCCUGGUUCACCAGGGGUGGACGACCCAACGGCUACCCUCACAAGGUUUAGCCGGCCUGUCGAAGCCAUUGCCCGGGGCGUGGCCGCUGCUCAUACUAGCAGCUACUGGGAGCCACAAGUGAGAGCUGGGUGUCAGGCUUGGGGACUGAAGUCACAUUAAGCAAGAGUGAAAGAAUAUUGGUCUAUC